rnacentral:rRNA from 1 species
AGAGUUUGAUCAUGGCUCAGAUUGAACGCUGGCGGCAGGCCUAACACAUGCAAGUCGAACGGUAGCGGGAAGAAGCUUGCUUCUUUGCCGACGAGUGGCGGACGGGUGAGUAAUGUCUGGGAAACUGCCCGAUGGAGGGGGAUAACUACUGGAAACGGUAGCUAAUACCGCAUAACGUCUACGGACCGAAAGUGGGGGACCUUCGGGCCUCACACCAUCGGAUGUGCCCAGAUGGGAUUAGCUUGUAGGUGGGGUAACGGCUCACCUAGGCGACGAUCCCUAGCUGGUCUGAGAGGAUGACCAGCCACACUGGAACUGAGACACGGUCCAGACUCCUACGGGAGGCAGCAGUGGGGAAUAUUGCACAAUGGGCGCAAGCCUGAUGCAGCCAUGCCGCGUGUAUGAAGAAGGCCUUCGGGUUGUAAAGUACUUUCAGCGGGGAGGAAGGGUAAAAGGUUAAUAACCUUUUUCAUUGACGUUACCCGCAGAAGAAGCACCGGCUAACUCCGUGCCAGCAGCCGCGGUAAUACGGAGGGUGCAAGCGUUAAUCGGAAUUACUGGGCGUAAAGCGCACGCAGGCGGUCUGUCAAGUCGGAUGUGAAAUCCCCGGGCUUAACCUGGGAACUGCAUUCGAAACUGGCAGGCUAGAGUCUUGUAGAGGGGGGUAGAAUUCCAGGUGUAGCGGUGAAAUGCGUAGAGAUCUGGAGGAAUACCGGUGGCGAAGGCGGCCCCCUGGACAAAGACUGACGCUCAGGUGCGAAAGCGUGGGGAGCAAACAGGAUUAGAUACCCUGGUAGUCCACGCCGUAAACGAUGUCGACUUGGAGGCUGUUCCCCUGAGGAGUGGCUUCCGGAGCUAACGCGUUAAGUCGACCGCCUGGGGAGUACGGCCGCAAGGUUAAAACUCAAAUGAAUUGACGGGGGCCCGCACAAGCGGUGGAGCAUGUGGUUUAAUUCGAUGCAACGCGAAGAACCUUACCUGGCCUUGACAUCCACGGAAUUUUGCAGAGAUGCGGAAGUGCCUUCGGGAACCGUGAGACAGGUGCUGCAUGGCUGUCGUCAGCUCGUGUUGUGAAAUGUUGGGUUAAGUCCCGCAACGAGCGCAACCCUUAUCCUUUGUUGCCAGCGAUUCGGUCGGGAACUCAAAGGAGACUGCCGGUGAUAAACCGGAGGAAGGUGGGGAUGACGUCAAGUCAUCAUGGCCCUUACGGCCAGGGCUACACACGUGCUACAAUGGCGCAUACAAAGAGAAGCGACCUCGCGAGAGCAAGCGGACCUCAUAAAGUGCGUCGUAGUCCGGAUCGGAGUCUGCAACUCGACUCCGUGAAGUCGGAAUCGCUAGUAAUCGUAGAUCAGAAUGCUACGGUGAAUACGUUCCCGGGCCUUGUACACACCGCCCGUCACACCAUGGGAGUGGGUUGCAAAAGAAGUAGGUAGCUUAACCUUCGGGAGGGCGGCUUACCACUUUGUUGAUUCAUGACUGGGUGGAAGUCGUAACAAGGUAACCGUAGGGAACCGUGCGGUUGGAGUCACCUCCUUA